GUACAGGCGCUUCGCGCCUGCCCCAGGCUGGCCCUGCGGGGCUGACUCCUGACAAUCAAUAUAGCUGGAUACCCGCAGGUGUGGCGGCUGCGCCGCCCCCCCUGCUUGGUACCCAGCCAAAGGUGUCAAUUUUAACGCUUCGUGCCUGACGGUGGGUUUCUAUGCACGGCGUGUUUCUUCCGGCCUUCGGUUUGGUACCGCAGGGUCAGCCAUCACUUGUGCAUUGCACCUGAUACCUUUGAAAAAGUUGUGUACACCGAACAGCAUACUUAUUAUUGCUAAUCGAUAAGUUGAAGAAAUACGAUAUUUUUGGUAUAAAUACUGUGGUCGUUGUUGAUCUUCCCCUCAAUUUCCUAAACAAAAAUCUUCAGAUUAUUAGGAUUUUUGCAGCGGCAAAAAGCCACAUAAAUCAUUCCAUGUUGCAAUACUGGUGUAGGAAGGUACACACUUA